GAUCAAUAUAUAGCAAUAUCUGAUGCGAUGCACAGGUCUCCACAAGUUCUUCAACUAGGGCUCCUCAAAAAACCAGUCAAACGGACCCACUCGGAUGAAUCGACCGGACCGAGAACCGCUGGGUGAAUUGGCACCAUUUAAUGGUCGGACAUGGUUCAGGCAAGAUUGAACCGACCACUGGGCGACCAAUUCUUGGUUUAAAAUUAUCCAAACCUGACCAGACCUGACCCGGCCCACCCUGUACGCAAACGACGUCGUUUAUAUAUAUAUAUAUAUAUAUAUAUUUUUUGGGAGGGGGUAUAUAAAUCAUUUAACCCCCCCUCUCCCCCCUUCACUUCACCUGCUCGAGCCCUAACCCUAGUUCAUAGUCGCCAUCGUGUCAAGACGUACAUGACUCCACGACGGAUCAUCCAGGCUGUCCAGUCGGCAGCUACUAGCAGCUGGUUACUCUCUGUCACCGGCAUCGCCACUUACCACUGAGUCCUGAAGUCUUCAUCAUUGUGAGUUGUGAAACAAACUCAGAAGGACCGAAAGCAUCAGUCACCGACUCAGCAAACCCAUCACACAGCACACAGAUGGUUAUCCAAAGGAGAAGCAAGCGAGAAUCAAGCUGGUCCAGCUGAUCCAAAGGAGAUGUGAGUUGAUCCAGUUGAUCUCACAUCUACCAAACGACUUGCCUCACUUCCUAAGGAAAAGGAAGAUCUAGACUCUAAUGCCAAGAGCUUAUGUGGUCUCAAAGUGGCAAUGGCCCUCAAGAUGGGACUAACUCUUCUGCACGCUGAACAUUGGACUUGUUGCCUCAUGGGACUUCAGACUUGGGAGAAAGCAACUAGAAAGGAUGGAUUGUGGGGUAAAGACUUGAGAAUUGAGAUAUCUUGUUGGCAAUGGCUGGAAUGGUUGCUAUGUUCUGGACAAUGGACAGUUGAAUUUAGAUAUGAUGGUUGAUGCUUUGAUGGAUGUAACCCAAACAAUUAUGUGAUAUUUUUUAUUUUCAGUUUUACAUUACUUUGCUUGAACUUUGAAGCUUUGCUGGCUAGGAAAGCAUUAUGUGAUAUUUUUUAUUUUCAGUUUUACAUUACUUUGCUUGAACUUUGAAGCUUUGCUGGCUAGGAAAGCCUUGGAUCAGUUGGAAACUUGGAAUGUUUGUAAUAACUUUUUGUUUAGAAUGUGUAGCAAUACAACAUAUGUAUGCUUGGCUGCUUGCUUUGAA